rnacentral:rRNA from 1 species
AGUGAACGCUGGCGGUAGGCCUAACACAUGCAAGUCGAACGGCAGCACAGUAAGAGCUUGCUCUUACGGGUGGCGAGUGGCGGACGGGUGAGGAAUACAUCGGAAUCUACUUUUUCGUGGGGGAUAACGUAGGGAAACUUACGCUAAUACCGCAUACGACCUACGGGUGAAAGCAGGGGAUCUUCGGACCUUGCGCGAUUGAAUGAGCCGAUGUCGGAUUAGCUAGUUGGCGGGGUAAAGGCCCACCAAGGCGACGAUCCGUAGCUGGUCUGAGAGGAUGGUCGGCCGCACUGGAGCUGGGACACGGACAAGGCGCCUGCGGGAGGCAGCAGAGUGGAAUGUUAGGCAGCAGGCGCGAGUCUGACACAGUCAGCCCACGUGGGAUAAGGAGACGUCCGGGUUGUAAAGCCCGCCUGCUGGGAAAAAACCGCAGCAGCUUGAGACCCAGCGGUACUGACGGUAACCAAAAAAUAAGCACCGGCUAACUACGUG